AAGAGGGUAGCCGAAGCAAAGGCGUCUAGCUGUUAACUAGAAGGUGUGGAUUAAUAAGCCCCUCUUU
rnacentral:tRNA from 1 species